UACGUUGGGGGCUAGCGUUGUUCGGAAUUACUGGGCGUAAAGCGUGCGCAGGCGGCUUCUCAAGUCAGGGGUGAAAGCCCAGAGCUCAACUCUGGAAUUGCCUUUGAGACUGAGUGGCUUGAGUACGAGAGAGGUGAGUGGAAUUCCCAGUGUAGAGGUGAAAUUCGUAGAUAUUGGGAAGAACACCGGUGGCGAAGGCGGCUCACUGGCUCGUAACUGACGCUCAUGCGCGACAGCGUGGGGAUCAAACGGG
rnacentral:rRNA from 1 species